UACGUAGGGUGCAAGCGUUAUCCGGAAUUAUUGGGCGUAAAGAGCUCGUAGGCGGUUUGUCGCGUCUGCUGUGAAAACUGGAGGCUCAACCUCCAGCCUGCAGUGGGUACGGGCAGACUAGAGUGCGGUAGGGGAGAUUGGAAUUCCUGGUGUAGCGGUGGAAUGCGCAGAUAUCAGGAGGAACACCGAUGGCGAAGGCAGAUCUCUGGGCCGUAACUGACACUGAGGAGCGAAAGGCAUGGGGGAGCGAACAGG
rnacentral:rRNA from 1 species